UACGGGGGGUGCGAGCGUUGUCCGGAAUCACUGGGCGUAAAGGGCGCGUAGGUGGUUUGAUAAGGGUGUGGUGAAAGUCCGGAGCUCAACUCCGGAUCUGCCGUGCCGACUGUCAAACUCGAGGGCUGUAGAGGCAGACGGAAUUCCGGGUGUAGCGGUGAAAUGCGCAGAUAUCAGGAGGAACACCGGUGGCGAAGGCGGGUCUCUGGGCAACAACUGACGCUGAGGAGCGAAAGCGUGGGGAGCGAACAGG
rnacentral:rRNA from 1 species